GGGGAUUUAGCUUGGUGGUGCAGUGCUUGCCUGGUAAGUGUGAGGUCCUGAGUUCAAUUCUCAGUAUCUCCU
rnacentral:tRNA from 1 species